GAAAUGCGAUAAGUAAUGUGAAUUGCAGAAUUCAGUGAAUCAUCGAAUCUUUGAACGCACAUUGCGCCCGCCAGCACUCUGGCGGGCAUGCCUGUUCGAGCGUCAUUUCAACCCUCAGAACCCCUUGCGGGAUCUGGCGUUGGGGAUUGGCGUCCAGCCAGCCCCGAAAUCUAGUGGCGGUCCCUCCGCGACCUCCCCUGUGCAGUAGCGAUACCUCGCAGCGGGACAGCGGUCUGACCACGCCGUAAAACCCCCAACUUAUCAAGGUUGACCUCGAAUCAGGUAGGAAUACCCGCUGAACUUAAGC
rnacentral:misc_RNA from 1 species